rnacentral:tRNA from 1 species
GGCGGGAUAGCUCAGUAGGUAGAGCACGCGACUGAAAAUCGCGGUGUCCCCGGUUCGAAUCCGGGUCCCGCCA